UGUUAAUUUUUGUGGGUUUUCUUUACUAUUUCACAAUUUUCGUUUUUUUGGAUGAUUUGUUGAGUUUACAGAGCUCAGCUGGCAAAUUUCACUCUUUUUUCUUCACUUCCAUGGCUUCUCUCUGUGUGUUCAGUUUCUUUGUUUGUGUUCUCAAAGACCCAGGUGGGGUUCCCUUUUCAUAUCUUCCUGAUGUUGAAGAUCAUGAAGCUUCAGAUCAAGAAUCCAAAAGAUCUGGUUUGCUUAAGAAGAAAUGUGAUAAGUGUUCAGAAUACAAGCCGCCCAGGGCUCAUCAUUGCCGUAUCUGCCGAAGGUGUAUUUUGAGGAUGGAUCAUCAUUGUGCCUGGAUAAACAAUUGUGUUGGUCACAGGAACUACAAGGCAUUUGUAGCUUUAAUCUUCUAUGCAACUGUUGCUAUAAUCUAUUCCUCGGUUAUAUUGGUGAGCGAUACAAUUCAUAAGGAUUGGAAUUUGGAUGGAGUGAUGCAUCUCAAGCUAUUUUACAUUGCUGCUGGUGUUGUGCUUAUUGGCUUAAGCUUGACACUUGGAACUCUCCUGGGCUGGCAUAUCUACCUUACAAUGCGUAAUAUGACAACUAUAGAGUACUACGAGGGAAAACGAGCAGCAUGGCUGGCAAGUAAAUCUGGGAUGAAUUAUCAUCACCCUUAUGAUGUUG
rnacentral:misc_RNA from 1 species